UGAAGGCCUUUGGGUUGUAAAGCUCUUUUGUAGGGGAAGAUAAUGACUGUACCCUAAGAAUAAGGUCCGGCUAACUUCGUGCCAGCAGCCGCGGUAAUACGAAGGGACCUAGCGUAGUUCGGAAUUACUGGGCGUAAAGCGCGCGUAGGCCGUUGAGUUAGUUAAUUGUGAAAUCCCAAAGCUUAACUUUGGAACUGCAAUUAAAACUGCUCGACUAGAGUCUGAUAGAGGAAAGCGGAAUACAUAGUGUAGAGGUGAAAUUCGUAGAUAUUAUGUAGAACACCAGUUGCGAAGGCGGCUUUCUGGAUCAACACUGACGCUGAGGCGCGAAAGUAUGGGUAGCAAAGAGGAUUAGAUACUCUCGUAGUCCAUACCAUAAACGAUGAUUGCUAGAUGUUGGAAAUUUAUUUUCAGUAUCGCAGCUAACGCAUUAAGCAAUCCGCCUGGGGAGUACGACCGCAAGGUUAAAACUCAAAUGAAUUGACGG
rnacentral:rRNA from 1 species